rnacentral:rRNA from 1 species
CCGGAGGAAGGUGGGGAUGACGUCAAGUCCUCAUGGCCCUUAUGGGUGGGCUUCACACGUCAUACAAUGGUCGGUACAGAGGGUUGCCAAGCCGCGAGGUGGAGCCAAUCCCUUAAAGCCGAUCGUAGUCCGGAUCGCAGUCUGCAACUCGACUGCGUGAAGUCGGAAUCGCUAGUAAUCGUGGAUCAGCAUGUCACGGUGAAUACGUUCCCGGGUCUU